GACGAACCGUGCGAACGUUAUUCGGAAUCACUGGGCUUAAAGCGCGUGUAGGCGGGCCGCCACGUCGGCUGCUGAAAUCCCCCCGGCUCAACCGGGGAACGGGCACCGAUACGAGCGGCCUGGAGGGGGGUAGGGGGCACUGGAACUUCCGGUGGAGCGGUGAAAUGCGUUGAGAUCGGAAGGAACGCCCGUGGCGAAAGCGAGUGCCUGGACCCUUACUGACGCUGAGACGCGAAAGCCAGGGGAGCGAACGGG
rnacentral:rRNA from 1 species